rnacentral:rRNA from 1 species
GACGAACGCUGGCGGCGUGCUUAACACAUGCAAGUCGAACGAAGUGGCGAACGGGUGAGUAACGCGUAAUCAACCUGCCCUUCAGAGGGGGACAACAGUUGGAAACGACUGCUACUACCGCAUACUGAAGGAGGGGAUUGCGUUUGUUUGGCUAGUUGGCGGGGUAACGGCCCCACAAGGCGAGGAUCAGUAGCCGGGUUGGAGGGAGGAACGGCCAAAUUGGGACUUGGACACGGCCCAGAAUCCUAAGGGAGGCAGGCGGGGGGAAUCUUCCGCAAUUGACGGAAGUCUGACGGAGCAACGCCGCCGGAGUGAUGACGGCCUUCGGGUUGUAAAGCUCUGUUAAUCGGGACGCGGUACCGGAAUAGAAAGCCACGGCUAACUACGUGCCAGCAGCCGCGGUAAUUC